rnacentral:rRNA from 1 species
CCCUUAGAUGUUCUGGGCCGCACGCGCGCUACACUGAUGCAUUCAACGAGUUUCUUCCUGGUCCGAGAGGAAUGGGUAACCUUUUGAAAGUGCAUCGUGAUAGGGAUAGACUAUUGCAAUUAUUGGUCUUCAACGAGGAAUUCCUAGUAGACGUAGUUCAUCAGACUGCAUCGAUUACGUCCCUGCCCUUUGUACACACCGCCCGUCGCUCCUACCGAUUGAAUGCUCAGGUGAGCCAUUCGGACUUUCAUCAUGCUGGUUUCCAGUUUUGAUGAAGGAAAGUCUUGCGAACCUUAUCAUUUAGAGGAAGGGGAAGUCGUAACA